rnacentral:rRNA from 1 species
GAUGAACGCUAGCGGCAGGCCUAACACAUGCAAGUCGAGGGGUAGCAGGAUUAAGCUUGCUUAAUUGCUGACGACCGGCGCACGGGUGCGUAACGCGUAUGCAACCUACCUUAUACUGGGGUAUAGCCCGGAGAAAUUCGGAUUAAUCCCCCAUAGUACUAAUGAAUCGCAUGGUUUAUUAGUUAAAGCAUUGCGGUAUAAGAUGGGCAUGCGUACUAGUAGCGAGAUGGUGAGGUAACGGCUCAACAUGGCUGCGAUAGGUAGGGGGCCUGGGAGGGUGGUCCCCCACACUGGUACUGAGCCACGGAACAGACUCCUACGGGAGGCAGCAGUGAGGAAUAUUGGUCAAUGGGCGCAAGCCUGAACCAGCCAUGCCGCGUGCAAGAAGAAUGCCCUAUGGGUUGUAAACUGCUUUUAUUUGGGAAUAAACCUCUUUACGUGUAGAGAGCUGAAGGUACCAAAUGAAUAAGCACCGGCUAACUCCGUGCCAGCCGCCGCAGUAA